UCUACCACUUUAACAGGGCAAUGGCUGCUGGAAGUAGAUGUGCUGAGACAGUCACGUCUGCUAGAAUACACCGGGCCCUCGGCUGCCCGCCACUGAGGAGCUGUACAGCCACUACUGUGGAGUCGGACUGUGAUGAGGAUGAGGAUCUGCUGACAGUGAGGAGCCAAUGAUGUCUGGAUGUCAGACUCUGCAAAGAAGAUGGAGCUGGAGGAAGAACUGGUCUCUGGACCAGAUGAAGAAGAAAAGAUAACAGAGAAGAUAUCACUCAAGUCAGAAGACGUCACUCAGCACCUGUGGAAACCACAUGCAGGGUCUCACCACCCAUUACCGAAUAGAUGAGAUGAACCUGCAAAAAGCAGCCACAUGGGUUAUUUUCGUGGUGCCUACUGUACAUCUUUCGCUCUGCAUAAUAAGGAAACCAAGCCUCUCUACUCUCUCCUAUUCCUUUCAGAAUUUUAACAGAUAUAGGUUUAGGCCACAAAAUGAGCACUUUAUGCGUUGCUCAGUUUAUCUUUCAUCUACAGCCACUUACUUAUAAGUCUAUAUAUUGUGGUAAAGUAUACGGGUAAGUGGUGGAUGGGGUGUAUAUUUUGCCUGGUUUUCUCAGCCAGGCACGAUAAAGGAAAUCCAGAACGAUAUGCUGCUUUAGCAGAGCAUAGUCUGCUAUGGCUCUCUUGUUAAGUUUCAUGGGCUGGAUUUCCUGGGCUGGAGGACAGGUUGGAUGUGGAAGUGCUCCAGUCCACACCCUUAGUCCACUAUGGGUUUCCCUAUUUCAAGGUGUUCUCAGGGAAGGUUGGGUGGCUGCUGAUUGCUGGAGAGACAGAGGAGAAAACAGCCACAAAUAGGACUGCAGCUAAAACCCACCAGGUCUGAACCUUCCUCUGUGGACAUUUGUGUGAAUUUUCUUGGGGCCAGACAUUAGACCCACAGUAGGAUAGAGAGGCAUCCUGAUGUUUAGUUAGAGCUGGGCAGGCUUAGGUUUUUGUUGUUUUGUCUGCACUAUGCUUUGUGCCUAAAAGUAAUUUAAAUAAACAUCCUCUCGGACGUUUGA